GUAAGCUCAAUAGAAGAAGAACCAAAUAAUUUUUAAUUUAACAUUUUUAAUUCCAAAAUUGGUUUGACAAUUUAUUGUCCCAGCAGCUGUGAUGUGACCACCUGUAUUUUUCUACACACGGUUUACCCAUGGUAGAAAAAUACAGGUAGUAGGACAUAGCUAAAUAGACAUAGAAUUUUAUGCUGAUUAAGAAUAUAUCUACUUUGUGGAUUCUAAAAUGUAUAUUUCGAAGUGACAAACUUAAUAUACCCUCCAUACUAUUGUGGAGGGUAUAAAAGGAUAAGGAACUUACUUUUCUAAAAUUGUGACGGUUCGGCAAUUUGCCUUGACCUGAUCCACACCUGCAUUUGUUUCAGAAAUACGACAAAUUUACUAUUACGAAUUCUGUCAUCUGUUUACAAAUGUAAUGGUUGGUCAGCCUCGCUGCAUUCUAGGUCUUACAACACUGUCCGCUGUCAUUGAUAAAAUUCUCACAUCCGAUACUCAACUUACCCCCAUAGAUGCUGACCUUUGUCAACUAAGUCUUAAAUCGAAGUGUUUUUUAGAAAAUGUAUUAAACAUUUUUCAAUUAAAUCUUACAUUUAGUUCCAA